rnacentral:rRNA from 1 species
CCCCUCGGUUCGGAAUAACAGUUGGAAACGACUGCUAAUACCGGAUGAUGACGUAAGUCCAAAGAUUUAUCGCCGAGGGAUGAGCCCGCGUAGGAUUAGCUAGUUGGUGUGGUAAAGGCGCACCAAGGCGACGAUCCUUAGCUGGUCUGAGAGGAUGAUCAGCCACACUGGGACUGAGACACGGCCCAG